rnacentral:rRNA from 1 species
CGUCAAGUCAUCAUGGCCCUUAUGUCCAGGGCUACACACGUGCUACAAUGGCCGGUACAAAGUGAAGCGAAGCUGUGAAGAAAGAGCGAAACGCGAAAGCCGGCCGUAGUUCGGAUUGAAGUCUGAAACUCGACUUCAUGAAGUUGGAAUCGCUAGUAAUCGCGCAUCAGCAUGGCGCGGUGAAUACGUUCCCGGGCCUU